rnacentral:rRNA from 1 species
AUGGCUCCUACUCUGGAGGAUGUGUCACUUUUGCUGGGACUACCGUUGGCAGGUCAUGCCGUAGGACCGUUGGACGCACCGGCUGGUUGGGAGCGAGCUCUCACAGAACGUUUUCACGGUGUUUUUCCGGAUGCUCCCGAUCCGGUAUGGGAGCAUCACGGACCUAAGUAUGAGUGGUUGCUAAAUUUCCGGAUCCAGAACUUCCGGGCGCCCUUGACUGCGGAACAGAUCACUCGGAGCCUCGAGGCCUACUUACUGUGGCUUUUCGGCAAGGUGAUGUUCACGGAGAACCAUGUCACCACUAUCAGCGCCCUCUACAUCCCUAUGGCACUCGAGAUAGCGAGCGCUCAGACGACUGAUCAGAUCAGACAGAGGAGUUGGGGUUCGGCGGUGUUAGCGGCUACAUACCGAGGUAUGUGCAACGGUUGCCAGCUUACAUCGAGAAAGCCAGCCCUUCUUGGAUGCCCUCUAUUCCUACAGCUGUGGUCGUGGGAGAGGUUCUCUAUAGGGCGACCAGAUGUACGGGUUCAUGAGCCUAUGGACGCCAUGUUUGAUGUUGAGGGCAUCGACAUGCCUACUUUCGGUCUGUGUUGGACUUGUCGCAAGAGACGCUUUGCUAGUGAUCAGACCAGGAAGGCGUACACAACAUUGAACGAGCAGUUCGAUGCGUACACCGGGGUAAUCUGGCAGCCCUACACGGCAGCAGCCAUACAAGCGAGAUACCCUGCUGGUAUGUCUGUGCUAUGCACAAGGGACCGAGAUUACUGGAUGACAAAAUCUAAGAUCAUCUUCGAUGUCUUCGUCGAGGAGAUGGCACAACAGAGGGUUAUGAGGCAAUUUGGUCUUCUGCAGUUGGAGCUACCUCCCCCUAUAGAGAACCCGGUGCCAGCACACAUCCACAGGACGACAAGGAAGGGCAUGAACAGGACAACUGCUGAAUGGCUAGUUAGACUAGAGCCGUAUGUUAUAGAAUGGGAGACAGCAAACACAAAUCUAUGGCACGAGAAUCACAAUUUCGAUCUCGAUGAAUUCAAUCUCUAUUUGCGGCGCUACAUGACCGGAACACGGUUACGCAUUGUUGAGUACUCCCACCCAGAGGAGUUACCGGAUCCUACUCCGUUGGAUAUGUACCCGAGCUAUGAUACUUCGGGCUCUAGGCAGUACGCGGCUACCUUGACACGCGAACUGUACGACGACGUGACCACCUUUGGACGAUCACUAUCGUCUGGACCUCUUCUUCAACAUCGUCCAGUGGUACAGCCCUUCUUGGAAAGAAUUCAGAAUAAGAUACGGACUGUGUACGAGGCUAUCACGUGCACCCGGAGAACCGAUGUUGUUCAGCACGAGCAGGAGCAGCCGCGUCACUCCAUGCAACGACAUCAACCACGUCCACGCCUAGCACAACAGCCGACAACCAUGCCACCCCGUCCUGCCAACCUGGCAGUUCUACGUGGCACCCGCAGCACUAUGGUCCCACGUCGAGCUUCGUGUUUUCUCCACAGCCACAGCAACACGGUCCCUCGUCGAGCUUCGUGUUUUCUCCACAGCCACAGCAGCACGGUCCCUCCAGUUUCGUGUUUCAGCCAGAGCAGACGUCACACCCAGCAGGGGCCUAUGGAUAUCAGGCGUCUAUGUCGGCAUCACAUGAUACGUGGGGGAGUGAUCAACAUCCCGAGGACAACAUACAGGCUCAGAUGUCGCAGCACACCCAGUGGAUGA